rnacentral:rRNA from 1 species
GACGAACGCUGGCGGCGUGCUUAACACAUGCAAGUCGAACGAUGAACCGGUUUCGGCCGGGGAUUAGUGGCGAACGGGUGAGUAACACUUAGGCAAUCUGCCCUGCCCUCUGGGAUAAGCCCGGGAAACUGGGUCUAAUACCGGACACGACACUCCGCGGCAUCUUGGGGUGUGGAAAGUUCCGGCGGUUCAGGAUGAGCCCGCGGCCUAUCAGCUUGUUGGUGGGGUAAUGGCCUACCAAGGCGACGACGGGUAGCCGGCCUGAGAGGGUGACCGGCCACAAGGGGACUGCGACACGGCCCAGACUCCUACGGGAGGCAGCAGUGGGGAAUAUUGCACAAUGGGCGAAAGCCUGAUGCAGCGACGCCGCGUGAGGGAUGACGGCCUUCGGGGUGUAAACCUCUUUCAGCAGAGAAGAAGCGAAAGUGACGGUACCUGCAGAAGAAGCACCGGCUAACUACGUG